rnacentral:snRNA from 1 species
AAGAAAUUCAACCAAGCG